rnacentral:rRNA from 1 species
UGCGUAGGCGGCUUUUUAAGUCGGAUGUGAAAUCCCUGAGCUUAACUUAGGAAUUGCAUUCGAUACUGGGAAGCUAGAGUAUGGGAGAGGAUGGUAGAAUUCCAGGUGCAGCGGUGAGAUGCGUAGAGAUCUGGAGGAAUACCGAUGGCGAAGGCAGCCAUCUGGCCUAAUACUGACGCUGAGGUACGAAAGCAUGGGGAGCAAACA